AUGGUAUAAAAGCAGUAGAUUCGUGUUAGUAUUCACAACCAACUUUUAUUUUUGAGCUCGAAUAAUUUUAUAGGAUGUCACAAAUAAUGUAUUUGUUAAAAAUUGUUGUAAUUUUAUUAAUGGUAAGUAUCUCUUUAAUAUCAGGAAACACUAAGAUUGAAAUAUCUGAUAGUCAUAUGGAAAAACAUUCCAGUAGUGCAUCUGUAGUAACAACUCCUAUACGCUGCCCUACUACCCAUCAAAUGACAAGAUAUGGUUGUAAGGAAAGAGCUUACCUCGACAACCCACCGGUUUCAAAAUCUACAAAAGUGACUGAAGUUUCAUCAUAAAUAUUAUAUUAAUUUAUUUUAUAAAUUUUACAACAAGCUUCCUUUUCGUAAUUUUUAAAAAUAAAUACAAGUAUACCUAUUUAUUAGUAUCUCAAAUAAUGUUUAACUUAACAUGACAAUCAUUUCACUUUAUCCAAAGAAUUUUGUAAAUAUUUCCUGUGAGACAUUAUUUUGAUAAUCGAAAAAUGUUGAACAAAUAAAGUAGGUGUUUCGGACAAGGAAGGGUUUGGGACAAUAAACAGUCCUUUAAAUAUAAAAAAACAAACUUAAAUAGUUACUGAUUUACUUUUUUCCUUCUAAUGUUUACCCUGUAGAAAUUUGAUGUCUUUUUAUUCUAAUUACACUGCUUUAAUUCAAAUUCCAUUUAAAUCACGAACAGUAAACAAAAUUAAACAAUUUGAUAACCUACUACUCCUCUCCAAUGCACUAGAAUUAUUUGAAACGACGUAAUUACUGAGUGAUGUUGUUCCAAUUCUGCAUAAUUUUAAUAACAACCUUAUUUUUCCUUCCAUUUGUGCUGUCUUCAAAUAAUAUGACCUACGAGAGUAAAAGCACGAAUAGACGCAUUUUUGUUGCCCCCUGUCAGCCAGGAUAUAUUCGAAAAAACAAAGUUUGUAGGCCAUUAUGGCCAACCAACUGAAAAAUCGAAUUUUUUCCAUAAAUCUGAGAUACUUUAUUAAAGAAUUGCGCAUAGUCAACGAUAACCUUUAUUCUGUGUUUCUUAAUUUAUAAGUUUAGAAUCAUCAGUCUGUGAAAUGUCGCUUAAAGCUACUUUAAUAAAAGUUUCUCUACUUCUUGCAGUGCUGCGCUUUGUGCAUUGUUUACCCCUAAGUCCCGUAAUAGAAGGCGUAGUUAAUGAUGGUGUAAUUAGCUCCUCUAUCGGUUGUAAACCUGGUUAUGUCUACGUGCGUGGACUUUGCAAGGAACGAGCGAAAAAUGUUCAAGGCCAGGUUGAUAAAAAACACGCAGUCAGUGUAAUCAGUAAAAGUGUUAAUUAGUCUCAUUAUUUCUUAAAAAUUGUGUUUUUCAAUACUGUAUUUGAAAAUUUAUGUCAUUGCCAGUGGUAUUACUAAAAU